UACGUAGGGUGCAAGCGUUAAUCGGAAUUACUGGGCGUAAAGCGUGCGCAGGCGGCUUUGCAAGACAGAUGUGAAAUCCCCGGGCUCAACCUGGGAACUGCAUUUGUGACUGCAUGGCUGGAGUACGGUAGAGGGGGAUGGAAUUCCGCGUGUAGCGGUGGAAUGCGCAGAUAUCAGGAGGAACACCGGUGGCGAAGGCGGGAUCCUGGGCCAGUACUGACGCUGAUGAGCGAAAGCGUGGGGAGCAAACAGGAUUAGA
rnacentral:rRNA from 1 species